UGGUGGAGUGAUUUGUCUGGUUAAUUCCGUUAACGAACGAGACCUCGACCUGCUAAAUAGUACAGCGAAUCUCGAUUCGUUUGGACUUCUUAGAGGGACUUUACCUGUCUAGGGUGAGGAGGUUCGAGGCAAUAACA
rnacentral:rRNA from 1 species